rnacentral:lncRNA from 1 species
ACCUUUUGUUGUCUUCGUCAGAAUGCACUCCCAGGACUGCUACUUCAAUAACAAAUGGUAAUCAAACUUUUAUAAUAGUAAAUAUGAUUAUGGUGAGUGCUAAACUUGCCGGGUGUCUAAAUAGCUAGCCCGUGAUGCCUGGGCUAUGUACUUAGAAUAUUGCAAAAUGUGCUUUCACCAAAAAGCUAUUUUAAAAUCGGACAUAUCGAGUGCAUAGAGGAGGUCUGUAUAUAUAAUUCUUAAAAUAAUUGUUAUGCUUUUUGUGAACGUUUAUCGUGAGUAAUUUAGUAAAAUGUUAGCGAAUUCCCCGGAAGUUUGCGGGGGGUAUGCUAGU